AGUCUCACAAAACGUCCGGAGUGCGCGACGCCUGCGCGGGUAGAAGGCCUGCCUCCAGCGAACGAUCCCAUCGCCGCUCCAGGCGUAUCAGGUGCUGCUGUGUCGGAGCCCGUAGUGAGCCCAGGGUCAGAGAGAAGAAGAAAACGGGCUGAAGAGAGGUUGAGGAGGAGCAGGGGACAGAGCCAAACAGCUGAUUUAUCUGCUGCAAACCGUGUG